CCCUUAGAUGUUCUGGGCCGCACGCGUGCUACACUGGUACAAUCACUAAGUUUCUGAGUAGUUAUGCUUGGGCAAUCUUGAAAACUGUACCGUGACGGGGCUUGACUGUUGAAAUUUUCUGUCACUAACGAGGAAUUCCUAGUAAAUGUGGGUCAUGAACUCACGUUGAUUACGUCCCUGCCCUUUGUACACACCGCCCGUCGCUCCUACCGAUUGAAUGUUCCGGUGAAUUCUUCGGAGUCUGCGGUAUCAAUGUUUCAUUAUACCAUAGGCGAAGUUGCGCAAACCUUAACAUUUAGAGGAAGGAGAAGUCGUAACA
rnacentral:rRNA from 1 species